AUUUCAGCCGCCGAUUUAGCGCGCCCGCUCUUCAACUUGUGAUGCUUAGUGCAAACCUUUGGCACCUGCUAACUCCACUUCUCUUUUCGAGGGUGAUCCAAAUCUGUGUGGACCAGCCCGGACAAUUCAAAACUAUAACUCAGCAAUUGACCGCAUCCAAGCAGAAGGAGCACAAGACGUGGAAGGAGUAAAAUUCAGAAUGGAUGACGUAGAGCCAAGCAACAUAAGCAGUGCCAUUACUAAUGUGUUACCAGACCUACCAACCUCAAAUCUAAAUAUUGUAUUGGAGACAUUACAAUCUUUAGGUGUGGGAGCCACUGAAGAUUUACAGUAUAUUAAGGAAGCUGAUCUGCUCACAGUACUGAGACCAGUUCAAGCUAGAAAACUGUUGGCUGCAUGGAAACAAUCCACAGAGACAACUGAAUUCCAUAGUCAGUCAACAUUGACCUCUCCAGUGUCCUCAGCCUGCUCCUCAGUCUCACUGUCUUCCUCACCCUCACCCUCACCAUCACCCAGACACAUGAUUGCUACUGCAGAUUGGGUCGACAGCUUCCAGAUUCCAUGGGAGAAGCUCCCAGAAGCCUUAAUGCAGAGUUUGGAGAGAGGGAAAAGGCCAAGCUCAAAGUUACGCAGAGAACUGAUCCGAAUUGUAGUUGCUGAAAUGAUGCAUGCCUCUUCUUCUCCUGGUAAACAAUCCUCCACAGAGGUUGCGAAGAAAAUGGUAGCAAAGUAUCCACUGUCACUGCAAGAUGUUAUAGAAGGUGAUGUG
rnacentral:lncRNA from 1 species